GUAGGGAGCGAGCGUUGUCCGGAAUUACUGGGCGUAAAGGGCGCGUAGGCGGCGCUUCAAGUCGUCUGUCAAAAGCCGAGGCUCAACCUCGGUGCGCAGACGAAACUGGAGAGCUUGAGAAGCAGAGAGGCAAACAGAAUUCCUGGUGUAGCGGUGAAAUGCGUAGAUAUCAGGAAGAAUACCAGUGGCGAAGGCGGUUUGCUGGCUGCAUACUGACGCUGAAGCGCGAAAGCCAGGGGAGCAAACGGGAUUAGAUACCCCGGUAGUCCUGGCAGUAAACGAUGUAUGCUGGGUGUGGGACUAGCGAUAGUUCCGUGCCGAAGUUAACGCGAUAAGCAUACCGCCUGGGGAGUACGGUCGCAAGAUUG
rnacentral:rRNA from 1 species